rnacentral:rRNA from 1 species
AGAGUUUGAUCCUGGCUCAGGAUGAACGCUGGCGGCGUGCUUAACACAUGCAAGUCGAACGAAGCACUUUAUUACAAUUUCUUCGGAAUGACGAUUUAGUGACUGAGUGGCGGACGGGUGAGUAACGCGUGGGUAACCUGCCUUAUACAGGGGGAUAACAGUUAGAAAUGACUGCUAAUACCGCAUAAGCGCACAGGAUUGCAUGAUCUGGUGUGAAAAACUCCGGUGGUAUAAGAUGGACCCGCGUCUGAUUAGCUGGUUGGUGAGGUAACGGCCCACCAAGGCGACGAUCAGUAGCCGACCUGAGAGGGUGACCGGCCACAUUGGGACUGAGACACGGCCCAGACUCCUACGGGAGGCAGCAGUGGGGAAUAUUGCACAAUGGGGGAAACCCUGAUGCAGCGACGCCGCGUGAGUGAAGAAGUAUUUCGGUAUGUAAAGCUCUAUCAGCAGGGAAGACAGUGACGGUACCUGACUAAGAAGCUCCGGCUAAAUACGUGCCAGCAGCCGCGGUAAUACGUAUGGAGCAAGCGUUAUCCGGAUUUACUGGGUGUAAAGGGAGUGUAGGUGGUAUCACAAGUCAGAAGUGAAAGCCCGGGGCUCAACCCCGGGACUGCUUUUGAAACUGUGGAACUGGAGUGCAGGAGAGGUAAGUGGAAUUCCUAGUGUAGCGGUGAAAUGCGUAGAUAUUAGGAGGAACACCAGUGGCGAAGGCGGCUUACUGGACUGUAACUGACACUGAGGCUCGAAAGCGUGGGGAGCAAACAGGAUUAGAUACCCUGGUAGUCCACGCC